CCAAUAGCGUAUAUUAAAGUUGUUGCAGUUAAAAAGCUCGUAGUUGAACUUCGGGGUUUACCCAUUGGUCAGGCUUAAUUGUCUGCACUGGUGAGAUGGAUCUCUACCUUCUGAGGAACUUUCAUGCCAUUUAUUUGGUGUGAUGGGAAAUCAGGACUGUUACUUUGAAAAAAUUAGAGUGUUUAAAGCAGACUAUCGUC
rnacentral:rRNA from 1 species